AGGCCUUCAGCGUUUUCGCAGCACGCCAUCAAGUUAUUUCAGGGCUGUUUCUUUUAAAAUUGAAGCAUAAUACUUGAUUUGUGUUCUUCCUCGUUACCAUCUUCCAUGACCCAUUGAACAUGUUCCUGGGAUUUGGUGAUGAGUAUUUUAAGUUAAGAUCUUUGCAAGAAUUUGGAACUUUACAAUGGUAACAUUCAAAACUUUUCGCAAUAAUUGACUGGGAUUUGCUGCUACUAGAUUCAAUUUCUACCAAAAAUCAUUUUGAGAUGAGGAGAGAAAAGCCACAAAGGGAAGGAAGUUUUUGAAAGAAUCAUUAAAAAUGAUUCCGGUGUUUUUGUUGAUUUUUUGGUCACAAGUGUUGCUCACCUAAACUGUUUCUAAUACAAACUUAAAACAGAUGAGUCACGUUUGGAUUACAUGAUACAUUUGCUUUACCACCAAAUGUUUCCAUGAUUUCACCUCUAAACCUUGAGCAUAAAGAAAUUGGGUAUAACUCGAGAGACAAGACGGUUCCAGAAACUACAAUCACUUGGAAUUGAGAUGAUUUUGUUCUUUUUUCCUUUCUAAUUUUCCCUCUUUUGUCGAAGUUGGAUUGAAAUUAAGUUUUUGGCUCUCAAAUUUACUGGCAUCAGCUAGAAUUGGAGAGAAUUAAAGAUACAAAUUUCAAAUAUUUGGGCUAAUCGAGUUGGUCGUAGUUGAUAAGUGUAUUGUUACGAAGACUUCCAUUCAAUUGGGAAGAGAAGCAAGAUACUUAUAUUCAAUAGGUGACUUUUAUAGAGCUCGACAAGUUUUCAAUUUAUCUGAUGGAGAAAUGAAUAUUGAGAUUUCAAAUACCAUGAUUGGCGAGUAUGCACAAAAUGACCUUUAUGAUGAAGCUCCUUAGAGGUUAAAGUAUUUCAGAAUCAGAGUAUUGGGUGUACUACCUAUUAAUGUUGAGCUAAAAAAAAUGGUCAGUAUUAAAAAUGAACAAGUUAUAGUUUGUGGACGAGAAGGUUUAAUGGAUCCACACGGCAUGGCAGACAUGUUAGGUACGAAAAGAGGAGGAUGGCGACUUGAUUGUCACUAUAAGAGCUUAGGAUAAUAUAGAUUAUGCAAACUAUAUUGAAGUAUGCUACCUAACAUUUAAAAUCACAAACUACAUUUUACAACAUCUGAACUACAAGAUCUACAAACAUCAAUUUGUGCGGGUUGUGAUUGAUCCAAUGACAACUGCUUCAUUAACAUCGUUUCUACAAAAAUCGUCAUUAUAUCCUACAGGUAAAGUUCACUUGCACCAAACUUUCUUAACACAUGCAUAACCAGGGUCUGAAUUUCUGUCCUAGGGGUUCCACCUUGAAGAUUCCCAUUGGGAUUUUACUGCAGUUCAGGUUGGUGACAACCAAAUUGACGCUGAUUACAACCCAAGGCGCAGUAUUAGGUAGUCAUAUGUUCCACUUUCAUGAAGAACUGUGAAGGGAGGACGAUUCAGUCAGCACAAAAUGAGGAUACGAAAAAACACAAUUCUGGACAUUUUCCUGUGGGGUUUGACAAGGUAUCAUAUGCAGUUCAAAUGGCCAAAGUUACAUAUGGACUCAUUUGCCCAGGCUAACUAUCCAUCUGACGUUUAAAAUCAUUUGGAUUUUGAUGGAUUUCCUUUAAGAUAGGAUCCAUCUCCAGUUUUCCGACUAUGUUUGGAAAAUACUGUAAUCACCAAAGUGCGCUCUACUGAAAGAACUACUAGAAAUAAUGCUAUGUAACAAUCCCUACUCCUUCGCUUAUUUAUUCUUUGACAAGAAAUUUGCACUGCGCCACAUUAUAUAGCUAUAUAUAUUAUAAACGAGGAGUAAACCCAAUGAACAUGCAAUGGCUAUUCCAUGAAAACGCAGGACUAGAUUACUUAGUAAUCGUGCAAAUGUAGUGUGGUAAAAGUCAACGAAGAUUUGCCAUUUGACUUUAUGUUGCACUAAAAAUAUUAGUCUAUAAUACUAUCUCAACAACAAAUUGAGGUCGAUAAAAGCAAUUCAUAAAAAGUACUACUUCCCUCUCAGAAAAAUAAGAGCCUUUGGAUUUUCUGAUUUUUCCUAUUUUAGGUAAAAUUAGAAGAAGAAAACUGAAAAAAAAUCACCAUUUCUAGGGUGAAGGGAGUAUUUUGGCCCAACUUGAAUAUAAAUAUUUAGAUUAUUAUGCUUAUCAAUUUUUGGUUUCCUGAUUUUUGGUUUCUUAAUUUUUAAUAUUGACUCCAUUUCCAUUAUGUUGUAAGCAUCAUCAUAGAUUAAGAAGAAGUAUUAAAGUACUAGGGAUAGUCGGGGUUUGCGCGACAAUAAGAAGAUAUUAUAGGUAUGUACUUUCAACAAAAGACUAAACCCCGUGCCGGAAUUAUAGGUAUGUAUUUUCAACAAAACACUAAAUCCCGGGCCGUUCCGGCACGGGUCAUAUCCUAAUAUAUAUAUAGAAAGAAAUACAUGGUCAAAAGUGUACCGGUGGACCGCGGGAACCAUGUGCUCUUUCGGUCCGGGCUACAGGCCCUUGGAAUUUUGUAGUCACCACUAUUUUCUUACUUUCUUACAUUUGAGUCUCCUGAUCUCUAAAAAACGAAUUGAAUAGAGAGGGAGAGAGAUGUCUAGAGGUGGAGGAGUUUGGAUUGCAAACGCAGUAAACGUUGGAAUUGCAGUACAAGCAGACUGGGAGAAUCGUGAAUUCAUUUCUAAUAUCUCAAUCAAUGUUCGACUCCUCAUGAAUUUUGGAUACGUUGAUGAGCCUUGCAAAACACUAUGAAACUGGAGAGACGCUCCCAGAAGAAGUUUACAUGAAACUUCUUGCAGCAAGGACUUUCCAUUCAGGGACACACAGCCAUAGUUGAUACCAUUUGCAAGUACAGAUUUGGAGCUUUAUGGGAGUUACAUUCCUGUUGGGUCAGAAUCGAUCUUUGAUAUUGAUCGAAGAGUGGGAGAGAAAACUCAAGUUAUUGCACCACUGCCAAAGGAUAGGUUUCUUUGUGGUUUUAGUCACAUCUUUGCAGGUGGAUAUGCAGAAGGAUACUACAGUUACAAGUGGGCAGAGGUGUUAUCAGCUGAUGCCUUUUCAGUAUUUGAGGAUGCUGGAUUGGACAAUGAAAAGGAUUCAGAAACACCAAUAGCCAAAUAGCCGUAUCUUUUACAGAUGGGAUGAGCUGAGACGCAACAAAGAAGAGAUUAUUGUUGCUUGGGGUGCUAGGGAUGAGCUGAGAAGCAUCAGAUAUAUGCUGCUAUAAACCAAUGGUUAAUUGGAAAGCCUUGCACUUGCUUCUUAUGAAGGUAGUGUGAAUGGUUGUUAGCAAAUAUCAAGCAGCUAGUGGUGUAGGUGCUACUGCGAUGGAAGAGUUUGAAUUCCAGUUCGUUAUUAAUCUUAUUAAAUCAGUGACCAGGGUCCAAGACUGAACAAGGAAGUAACUCAAUGUUCACUGGUGUACGUCAAUAGAAUUUUGUAUCUCUACUGCAGAAUUGAGUUACUUUCUUUUUCAUAGGUAUACAGAAUAACUC